AUGGCUUGGAUUGGUUUGCUCGAGCCUCCCCCAGAUAGCACCACCCCCGGCCCCCGCAUACCUCGAGCCCCACGCCCUCUCUCCCGCACGCAAACUCGUCUCCCUCUCUUCCCCUCUCAGCACGCAAAAACCAUCUUUCGAUGAAUCUGGCUGCCUACGUUGGCGCUGGUGUAGGAGGCGGUGGAUCCCUCCUUCAACACGCACCUCCGGCCGCUCGAUGCAGGGCGGCGCGGUCAGAAUAGCCGGAGAAAUAGGUGGAGGAAGAGAGGUGAGGACAAUACAUGCGGCAGUGCAGCGCAACCAUGGUGGCCGUGACCAUUCAUGACCGGCCUUGACGGGCGCUGCUUGGGGAGAGAGAGGCAGGCGUCGAGCAGCGUCGAGCGCGUCCGAUGGAGUGAUGCCAUGAAUGAUGGUGCUUUAUUGUGUUGUUGGUGUAUAUUUUCAAGGGAUAUAUGCACAUUCCCGUGUGAAUUUCGUCAGCUGCACAAGAUCUUCUUGAUAAGAUUCUUGAACCAAGCCCAAUGAAGAGGACACAGCCAGGUGUACCCCAGCCGCUGGAAGCAAUAGCGGCCAAGGCUCUACCGCUUUCCCAAAUAGGUCCUUGGCUGACACGCUGCUCCAGCUCCUCCGGCGAGAUUGUACCAGCCUACGGUGAUAGCUCCAGCAAAUUGCAUGGACAUUCUUGAUCUUGUUUUACUGUGCUUCGGUUGGUUGUAAUAGAGAAAACCGUCUUUAUAUUGUGGCUGGAUGCAUGGUUGACUCCAGAAAAAAGCAGCUCAGAGGCUAUUGUAAAAAAACAUUAUGAGUUACUAUCAAAAUUAUGUUGCAACAAUAUGAACACAACACCUGAGCUUCACACCCUUCAGAAUAUCGGUCAUUGUAGUAUGGGGUUUUCUAGGUUAACGUGCACGAUUGAAACUUUGGAAUACCGGUUCAGAAAUUAAGAACAUGAAGGACUUGGUCUGGAUCUGAAUGAAAAGUUGGAUUCAAUGAAAGCUGAAAAGGGGUUGCAACUAGCUAUGGAAACAGGGGAUUUUCCAGAAUUCAGCAAUGUUGAUUCCACUGACAGGAAAGCCGGUCCAACUAUCAAAGGGCCAAGGUUCUUUGUGUGAGAAAAUCACCAGGUCAACAACUCCAUCUUGAUAUUAGACAAUGCCUGCACGAAGGAGAAGAUACUGAGAAUGGAGAAGGCUAUUCUGAAUGAGCUUCAGUGGAACCUCACCGUUCCUACACCAUAUGUCUUCUUUCUGCAAUUUACAGCGGCAAUUGCCAGAUUGGUGUUUUCAAAGCCAUCCAUGGUUGAUGCUGCUGAUGCCUACAGCUCUACACAGCUACGCUCAAGCUCAUCCCAAGAAGACCCCUGUAUUGACUGACACCCUCAAGCAUCACACUGGCUUUACUUAAUGUACUCAUGCACACUAAAUCACAGCUAAUGUAAAGCAUGUACACUACUGACUUUACAUAAACCUCUAUUUGCUUAAAUAUAGUGUUUAGGGAAUUUUCAGGGAUGCGCACACUCCACUGCCACUCAAAGAAAUCCAAGGUGGUGUAUAAGAAGUAUUGUAGCUACAAGCGGGAGGAGUCCAUGCAUGCAUCUGAUAUUGAAUUACAAGUAAAUGGGGAUUUCUAUGAAGCGUUUGCUUUAAAGUGCAGUUAAAGGCGAGUCUAACAUUUGAUUUGUUUUGUCAGUUCAAUAAGAAUACAAGAAGGCAUGAUAUUGCUCGGUUUCUAUGAUCUCAGUUCGUUCUAAGAACGUAUGAUUUAUCUUUAUUACUUUGCAGUUC